UACACUCCUACGGGAGGCAGCAGUGGGGAAUUUUGGACAAUGGGCGAAAGCCUGAUCCAGCCAUGCCGCGUGCAGGAUGAAGGCCUUCGGGUUGUAAACUGCUUUUGUACGGAACGAAACGGCCUUUUCUAAUAAAGAGGGCUAAUGACGGUACCGUAAGAAUAAGCCCCGGCUAACUACGGGCCAGCAGCCGCGGUAAUACGUAGGGUGCAAGCGUUAAUCGGAAUUACUGGGCGUAAAGCGUGCGCAGGCGGUUAUGUAAGACAGUUGUGAAAUCCCCGGGCUCAACCUGGGAACUGCAUCUGUGACUGCAUAGCUAGAGUACGGUAGAGGGGGAUGGAAUUCCGCGUGUAGCAGUGAAAUGCGUAGAUAUGCGGAGGAACACCGAUGGCGAAGGCAAUCCCCUGGACCUGUACUGACGCUCAUGCACGAAAGCGUGGGGAGCAAACAGUAUUAGAAACCCCAGUAGUCCCA
rnacentral:rRNA from 1 species